rnacentral:tRNA from 1 species
GGGCGGGUGGCGAAACCGGCAAACGCGGGGGCCUUAAAAGCCUCUGGUCCGCAGGGACCCUGGGGGUUCGACUCCCUCCCCGCCCACCA